GAUUGGCAGACACUUCCCCACUGGCUCCUCACAACUGGAAAACCAGUCAAACUGAUGGUUAAGCUAAUGGAAACAAACAGUAGACAGAAGAAUCCCACUACCCCCUUCACUCACCUCCAGGAAGUCUACAGCGAUGGGGUCAUCUUUGAGCAGCUGGCCGAACACCGCCACCCACUGGCAAAUCAACUUCACUAUCUUCUGCUUGGUGUUGAGGGCAUAGGCUGCUUUCUCCAGAUCUGAGCCCUCAGAAGGCUCGGCAUGAUAGGUGCACUCAUCGAUAAGGAAGAGAACUAACACAUCUGAACAACAGCUUAACACAGCUAUUCUAGACCUAGACCACUGUCUGAGGUGCUUUCGACUGAAGCUGGAUGCCUUGGUUUAAUUAUGUUCAUUUGUUUUAUUUAUUUAAUUUAAGAACAUUUAAACGUUUAAUUUGUUUUUCGGGUACACAGAUUCAAAAUACUCCCACAAAUGUUGGGUAUGUGAUCCUCUUAGAGACUAAGUGUAAGUAAAUAGAAAUAGACACAGCUUAGGACAUCAUUAUCGUCAUCCAAAGGAUAUUGGUGUUGCAGGGCCGGGCAAAGCUGGCUGGAGGGCAUGAAGACCCUGUGGGUUAGCAGGAAGUCGCUCACACAGGGAUCUGUGGGCACAGACAGAACAACACAUAACUCACUAACAAGGACUAAUGGCACUCUGUGUCCCUCCACUUUGUGUCCCGUCCACUUCCUCCCUGAAAAACACAGGCGCAAUGAGUCAUCUGAUGGCCUUUAGUGAGUGGAUAUAAAAUACAUUUCCAGGAAUGUGCCUGGCCUGAUUCUG